AUUUAAAUAGUUUAAUUUUUAGAAUAGUAAUUUGUGGUAUUACUGGUGAAUAUUUUCUUUAAGUC
rnacentral:tRNA from 1 species